rnacentral:rRNA from 1 species
GCCUGAUGGAGGGGGAUAACUACUGGAAACGGUGGCUAAUACCGCAUAACGUCGCAAGACCAAAGAGGGGGACCUUCGGGCCUCUUGCCAUCAGAUGUGCCCAGAUGGGAUUAGCUUGUUGGUGAGGUAACGGCUCACCAAGGCGACGAUCCCUAGCUGGUCUGAGAGGAUGACCAGCCACACUGGAACUGAGACACGGUCCAGACUCCUACGGGAGGCAGCAGUGGGGAAUAUUGCACAAUGGGCGCAAGCCUGAUGCAGCCAUGCCGCGUGUAUGAAGAAGGCCUUCGGGUUGUAAAGUACUUUCAGCGGGGAGGAAGGUGUUGUGGUUAAUAACCGCAGCAAUUGACGUUACCCGCAGAAGAAGCACCGGCUAACUCCGUGCCAGCAGCCGCGGUAAUACGGAGGGUGCAAGCGUUAAUCGGAAUUACUGGGCGUAAAGCGCACGCAGGCGGUCUGUCAAGUCGGAUGUGAAAUCCCCGGGCUCAACCUGGGAACUGCAUUCGAAACUGGCAGGCUUGAGUCUUGUAGAGGGGGGUAGAAUUCCAGGUGUAGCGGUGAAAUGCGUAGAGAUCUGGAGGAAUACCGGUGGCGAAGGCGGCCCCCUGGACAAAGACUGACGCUCAGGUGCGAAAGCGUGGGGAGCAAACAGGAUUAGAUACCCUGGUAGUCCACGCCGUAAACGAUGUCUACUUGGAGGUUGUGCCCUUGAGGCGUGGCUUCCGGAGCUAACGCGUUAAGUAGACCGCCUGGGGAGUACGGCCGCAAGGUUAAAACUCAAAUGAAUUGACGGGGGCCCGCACAAGCGGUGGAGCAUGUGGUUUAAUUCGAUGCAACGCGAAGAACCUUACCUGGUCUUGACAUCCACGGAACUUUCCAGAGAUGGAUUGGUGCCUUCGGGAACCGUGAGACAGGUGCUGCAUGGCUGUCGUCAGCUCGUGUUGUGAAAUGUUGGGUUAAGUCCCGCAACGAGCGCAACCCUUAUCCUUUGUUGCCAGCG